GUGAUUCAAUGGUACCCACAUGUGUGCUGCUGAGAAGGAUGUACAAGGGCACCUGCAGCCAAAUCCAAGCCUCCUCAGAGCAGAGCGGCAGUUUGUGCUCACAGAUGGUGACGGUGUGGAGAGACGGUGGUGUUUCCUCAGAAGAACUAGCAGAGUCACAAAGAGCACCAGUCCAUCUCACCACCUUGACUUGCUGACUGAUGCUCGUCUGCACUGCACAGAGGAAAUCAACUGACCGAGGAGUGUUUCUGGGUGAGGGAGAGAGGAGUCAUCAUCCAGGUAAAGUGACGUGGAUCAGUGGACACACUUGUCUCCCCUUUAAAGGAGAUACUCUUAGAGAGAGACGAUCCGAGUCAUCCCUAAAUAUGGGCAGGAUAUCAGUCUUGGACUGUCUAACCUGCCGGAGCAGCACUGAAUGACCACCACACAUGAGCAUGUUCCUGCAACAUUCAGCAGCUUUGCUUUUGUGUCAAAUGUCAACCAGCUGGAGAGGAAACUAAACCAGUGUACUGGGAUGUUUCACCAACACGUGCCAGAUGGUGUUCCUUCAUGGUUUCAUCACCAGAGACAGCCCCGCCCACCUCAGGACCUCGCCAUUGAUCAUGAUGAUUAUAAUGAUGACAGCGAGCGGAACUAAGACUGUAAAAAUCCACGACCAGAAUGUUUAGAUGCUUUCUAAUUAUUAAUGAAUACUGAGAGCCUCUUUCUGUGUUUUGUCUGUUUUGGGUUGUUUUUUUACCUCAUUUGUUACUAACAAAGUUCACCAAACUCACACAGUUUACAUUCUGUAUGUUUCCAUCUUUACCAGCCACACUCUGCCUGCAUUUAGAAAACAAACCUUAGAAAUCGUCGUUUUUCUCUUUUGUAAUUUUGUAAUUCAGUGAAUAUACUGCACUGCUUCCUUUUAUUGCGUCACACAUUGCUUUAAGUUUUUCAGUGUCCAGUUAUUUUUUACUGCUGUUUGAAUUCUCUGUAUGUUUGACCCUGUAGACUGUUUGAUGGACUGCUUGUCUUCCUGUUUGUAACCGACGCCUGUUUUUGACUAAAGAUUUGGAUUUCUGACUUUAACACAGCCUCUGCGUGUCCUCCCUUUGUGUCCUCUUCCUCUGUGAAUGUGUUGCAUGUGUCACAGAUUCAUUUUAUUAACAGCUUUCCCACAGUGAGUU